GAUCAGCCACACUGGGACUGAGAUACGGCCCAGACUCCUACGGGAGGCAGCAGUGAGGAAUUUUGCGCAAUGGGCGAAAGCCUGACGCAGCGACGCCUCGUGAAUGAUGAAGUCUUUCGGGAUGUAAAAUUCUGUCAGCAGGGAAGAUAAUGACGGUACCUGCAGAGGAAGCUCCGGCUAACUACGUGCCAGCAGCCGCGGUAAUACGUAGGGAGCAAGCGUUAUCCGGAUUUAUUGGGCGUAAAGAGUGCGAAGGUGGUUUUAUAAGUUAGGUGUUAAAGGCAUGGGCUCAACCCAUGUUCGCGCCUAAAACUAUAAGACUAGAGUAUGUCAGAGGGAAGCGGAACUAAUAGUGUAGCGGUGAAAUGCGUAGAUAUUAUUAGGAACACCAGUGGCGAAGGCGGCUUCCUGGGGCACUACUGACACUCAUGCACGAAAGCGUGGGGAGCAAACAGGAUUAGAUACCCUGGUAGUCCACGCUGUAAACGUUGUUCACUAGGUGUAGGAGGUAUCGACCCCUUCUGUGCCGCAGCUAACGCGAUAAGUGAACCGCCUGGGGAGUACGAGCGCAAGCUUAAAACUCAAAGGAAUUGACGGGGGCCCGCACAAGCAGUGGAGCAUGUGGUUUAAUUCGAUGAUACGCGAAGAACCUUACCUGGGUUUGACAUCCUGCGAAGCCUCUAGAGAUAGAGGGGUGCCUUCGGGAACGCAGAGACAGGUGGUGCAUGGUUGUCGUCAGCUCGUGUCGUGAGAUGUUGGGUUAAGUCCCGCAACGAGCGCAACCCUUGUCGUAUGUUGCCAGCACGUAAUGGUGGGAACUCAUCCGAGACUGCCCGUGGAAAGCGGGAGGAAGGUGGGGAUGACGUCAAAUCAUCAUGCCCCUUAUAUCCAGGGCUACACACAUGCUACAAUGGGUGGUACAAAGGGUUGCCAAGCCGUAAGGUGGAGCUAAUCUCAGAAAACCAUCCUCAGUUCGGAUUGAAGGCUGCAAUUUGCCUUCAUGAAGUUGGAAUUGCUAGUAAACGUAGAUCAGCAAUGCUACGUUGAAUACGUUCCCGGGCCUUGUACACACCGCCCGUCACACCAUGAAAGUCGAAAACGCCCGAAGUUAGUGUACUAACCCGCAAGGGAGGUAGCUACCUAAGGUGGAGUUGAUAAUUGGGGUGAAGUCGGAACAAGGUAGCCGUACCGGGAGGUGUGGCUG
rnacentral:rRNA from 1 species